rnacentral:rRNA from 1 species
UACAGAGGGUGCGAGCGUUGUUCGGAAUUAUUGGGCGUAAAGGGCGCGUAGGCGGUGCGGUAAGUCACCUGUGAAAUCUCCUGGCUCAACUGGGAGCUUGCAGGCGAAACUGCCGUGCUGGAGUGUGGGAGAGGUGCGUGGAAUUCCUGGUGUAGCGGUGAAAUGCGUAGAUAUCAGGAGGAACACCUGUGGCGAAAGCGGCGCACUGGACCACAACUGACGCUGAGGCGCGAAAGCUAGGGGGGCAAACAGG